ACAGAAUUCAUUUCCAGGGUGAACUAAAGCUUUUCAAGAGCUCUAUGGCAGGUUUGCCCUUCCCAAGAGCAAGACCCAGCAGUCUGUCACCCUUUUCCAAAAAUGAGUCGACAGGAAAGAGAAGAGUCAAAGGAACUCUCUAAUGGGGUACCAAAUUAGCACACGGAAAAAGCAAACAUGUCCUGCUCAUUAUGAAUUGUUAAUGGCCUGUUUACUGCUGAAGCUGUCACAGAAAACAAGAGAGUCUGCAGUCACCAACCAGGCCUGAGAUCAGAAGAGGUCUCCAGUCCACAGCAUGAGACCCACAAGAGGAACUCGGAACUUGAGAACAAGAAAACAGUUGAAUUACCAAAGAAACUCAAGUCUUCAAACUGCUAUGCUGCUUGUUAUCUAUUUCCGAAGCACACGGAGCGGAUGAUGCUUGAUGGGAGGGAAACUGAAGCUCAAGAGCAAGGCAGGAGCUGUGAUGUCUGAGCAAGCUCCAGUUCAGACUCCCUUAGGAGCAAGAUGGUCUUGACAACCAGGAAGUUGAGAACUAAGUCUACUGCUGGUGGGAUCCAGAAACCCCAGCUGUGAGGAGAAGGAAGGGUACAGAGGCUAGCAACCCACAAGGUCGGAGAGGAUCCCUGGACCAUCCUGAAACUUAUCAUGAUCUUUUGGAC
rnacentral:lncRNA from 1 species